GCAUUCUCUUCUCUUGUAUUUCCUAUGGCUUUGGUGCCCUGGAUGUUUUCUAGCCUGAGAUGGCUUGCUUACAGAAGGAGAGGUAUGCCACAGGGAAGAGCGGAGACAGACAGCUAAAGAGAGCCUGCAGUAUUUAGACUACAGAAUCUCUACUGAUCUUCAAAGAUGUCCACGCUGAGUCGUGGCCUGGGACACCUAGGCCUGUGAGCAAAUCACUGGGACUACUGUUUAUUUAUUUACGUAUUUUUGAGGUUUGGCUGCAAGAGACAUGCCUAGAACAAUCCAGUAUUCAACUUUGCUCCAGAUGUCCCCAGCUGUGUCUUGAGUGGUGACAGAAGUUCUUCCGGCUGCAUGCAGGCAUUUGCUGAAGCUCCUGCAGUUAGUUCUGUCUGGCUUUGCUACAGUUGAUAUUCAGUUUUAUUCUAAUUGAGGGUGGUUUCCAUGCCUCCAGACUCAUGAUGAACCUUUAACGGAGGCCUUCAGUUGUCUUUUCCUGACAGCUCCAUACCUCAACAGUCCUUGAAAAUCAGAUAAGGAAAAUUUAAGAAACACUACAUAGAAAUACAGAACUUAUAAAACCACGAAGUUAAAUAGCUAUUAGCUUCACAUCUGCUCUUCCCAUUGCAUCUUCUUUUCUAAGAAGAUCAAACACCAAUGACAUUCUCACAAUUUCAGUAUAGUUUGUUUCUGAAGGACACUUUUGUUAUUAAAGCAAUAAAUUGAAUGACCAUAAUAGA